rnacentral:rRNA from 1 species
UACGUAGGGUGCGAGCGUUGUCCGGAAUUACUGGGCGUAAAGGGCUUGUAGGUGGUUUGUCGCGUUGUUCGUGAAAACUCACAGCUUAACUGUGGGCGUGCGGGCGAUACGGGCAGACUGGAGUACUGCAGGGGAGACUGGAAUUCCUGGUGUAGCGGUGGAAUGCGCAGAUAUCAGGAGGAACACCGGUGGCGAAGGCGGGUCUCUGGGCAGUAACUGACGCUGAGGGGCGAAAGCGUGGGGAGCGAACAGG